rnacentral:rRNA from 1 species
GGGGGCCCGCAAGCGGUGGAGCAUGUGGUUCAAUUCGACGCAACGCGAAGAACCUUACCUGGGCUCGAAAUGCAGGAGACCGGGGUAGAAAUAUCCCUUUCCGCAAGGACUGCUGUAUAGGUGCUGCAUGGCUGUCGUCAGCUCGCGUCGUGAGAUGUUGGGUUAAGUCCCGCAACGAGCGCAACCCUUAUCCCUAGUUGCCAUCGGGUCAAGCCGGGCACUCUAGUGAAACCGCCCCGGAUAACGGGGAGGAAGGUGGGGAUGACGUCAAGUCCUCAUGGCCUUUAUGUCCAGGGCUACACACGUGCUACAAUGGACGGUACAAAGCGCGCCAAACCCGCGAGGGGGAGGAAAUCGCAAAAAACCGCUCUCAGUUCGGAUUGCAGGCUGCAACUCGCCUGCAUGAAGCUGGAAUCGCUAGUAAUGGCGCAUCAAAACGGCGCCGUGAAUACGUUCCCGGGCCUUGUACACACC